UACGUAGGUGGCAAGCGUUGUCCGGAUUUACUGGGCGUAAAGAGCGCGCAGGCGGUCGAUCAAGUCGCGUGUGAAAGCCCCCGGCUCAACUGGGGAGGGUCACGCGAUACUGAUCGACUCGAAGGCAGGAGGGGGUAGUGGAAUUCCCGGUGUAGUGGUGAAAUGCGUAGAUAUCGGGAGGAACACCAGUGGCGAAGGCGACUACCUGGCCUGUUUCUUGACGCUGAGGCGCGAAAGCUAGGGGAGCAAACGGG
rnacentral:rRNA from 1 species